CUCCAAGCUUGUUGUUAGGUGCUGCAGUUUUGUGAAAGUCCUACAUCAAACAAGGAUACUGAUUUGACCGACUGGCACUGAGUAGAAAGUUCAGCUCCUUUAAUUCCUAGAAGGUUACUCUAGCUCAGUGCCUAUCAGGUUGCUGUUGCCUAGGAUUUUACAGCUGUACUUAGAGAAGAUAAUCUGUGAUCAGUCCAUCUCAUCUGUAUGAUCACAGGUGCACUAUAUGUGCUCUUCUGACUACAGGCACCUCACAGGCGCUCCAGAUAGCACAUAGCAGUCAACCAAAUGGGAAGUUUAGGACUGAGAGCAGAUUGCUGUGGGGCACGGGAGGAAGUUUUCCCCCCAGGUUGAUGAAAGGCCCACCCCCAGCUCCUGCUGGCAUGCUAUAAUGCUCCUGGAAAGGAGAGCAGAGAAGAUCAAAAGCAAAAUACUACCAAAGAGCAAAACCUAUAAAGAUUCCUC
rnacentral:lncRNA from 1 species